AUGAACGAUUCCCGCUGCAGGCCUCAGAAAGAUUCCAUAGAGACGCCCAGGGGAGCCUGGGUCAACAAGAAGAGGCGUGGGGUAGGGAAGCGGAUGGCCCAAGAUGGACAGCUCUCCUUAUUGGGAGCCACAACAGCAACCACAGACACCAGAAUCAGAUGCUGUUCCAGCUGCCAUGGGAGACCAGGAGAGGAGGUUCCUGGCACACUCUGCACUCUCAGGAGCCCCUCACACAGGACGUCAGACGUUGCAGCUUGGGCCCCUCUUGACCGGACGGCAAGAACAGAGCUGCUGACAUCCACAGCCCAAGAUCCUUCUGAGAUCCCGGGGAGAGAUAGGUGCCCACGCGCCCAACGGUGCGUAUCUGUAGGUAGAACAGAAUGCAAAAGUCUUGCUCUCUUUUCCCCUGAGAGAAGAUUUUAAUGUCUGCAAUGCAAACGUUCUUUAGACAGCUGAAACCUUACAACAUUUUCCGGGACUGGGGCUCCUGAAACCCGAUUCCAAUUAUAAAUGCUAAUCGGUUUAAUGCAUGAUCAGCUUUAGAGAAGAAAUGUGAUUGCAGUUCAUUGAGAACUUUGCACAAACAGUGGAUAGAAUGUUGACAUAUCUAAGGAGCAGACUAUGUCAAAAAGAUUAGGACACUGACAUGUAUUUUGAUUCUCGCCUUUCAAAACCAGGUCUCACGUCUAUACCCACAAGGCCGCUUACUACAAUCACCCAUGAUUCUCUGCCUGAGUGUUUUUUCUUACCCUUGGAGCAUGCUGGACAUGACCCAAGGCCACUGGAAGUGUCAGAUAUUUAUUGCCUCUGCAAGUAGCGAGCCCUUUAUUAAUAAUGGUGGGGGGGUGUGGCACCUGGGUGGCUCAGUCAGUUAAGCGUCCAACUCUUGAUUUCGGCUCAGGCCACAAUCUCAGUUUGUGAGAUCAAGCCCCCCAACAGACAGUAUGGAGCCUGCUUGGGAUUCUCUCUCUCUCUCCCUCUCUCUCUCUGCCCCUCCUGUUCUCUCUCUCUCUCUCUCUCUCUCUCUCAAAAAUAAAUAAAAUAAACUUAAAAAAAUAAUGUUUGGG
rnacentral:lncRNA from 1 species